rnacentral:rRNA from 1 species
UACGGAGGGUGCGAGCGUUGUCCGGAAUCACUGGGCGUAAAGGGCGCGUAGGCGGCUCAUGAAGGCUGUGGUGAAAGUCCGGGGCUCAACCUCGGAUCGGCCGUGGCGACUCGUGGGCUGGAGCACUGUAGAGGCGGGUGGAAUUCCGGGUGUAGCGGUGGAAUGCGUAGAGAUCCGGAAGAACACCAGUGGCGAAGGCGGGUCUCUGGGCAAUAACUGACGCUGAGGAGCGAAAGCGUGGGGAGCGAACAGG